UCCUGGCAGCACAAGGGGAUCCACUCUUAAUCCCAAAGCUUCAAUUCUUCCUCGCCAUUGCGAGAAGUUUUAACCCAUUUCUCAAGAAGUACCAAACAGACGAGCCAGUGUUGCCUUUUUUGGCAGAAGAUUUAACUGAGCUCCUGUUGAGUUUACUGCGGCGGUUCAUCAAAAGGGAACUCCUACAGGACCAAACCCCCCUGCAGCUGAUUAAAUUGGACAUCUCUGAGGAGAAGAACUGGGUCUCCCUCAAAAGGGUAGAUAUAGGCUUGGGGGCUGAAUCUGCCAUCAAGGCACUCCUGGGCAAACCAGGAUCAAAGAUAGGUGAACUCUCUGUACUCCACCUCAGAAAAGAGUGUUUGCAGGGUCUGAUUAAGAUCGUAAAGAAACUGCAGGAGAAAUCGCCAUUGAAAUUCCCCAUAGUUAGGCAGAUCACCUGUUUGGAUCCCACAAGGAUGGCCAGGGAUCCAGAGUGGUGCAUCCUACAGAUGAAGUCAUUAGUGCAGGCUUUCAUCCAGGGGCAGCAGCUGGCAGGUGGCAUUGCAGCUGGUAAGAACAUAUUUUAUAGGGACAGUAGAAGUGGAUAAGUUAUUCAAAUUGAUUAAGGUCUUGUGCGUGGAAUCUCUUUUGUGGUUUUCUGCUUUUUUACUGUGACAGGUGUGAAAGUGUCUUGCUUUUACAAAAUUAAACUUUAUGCUCUCAUAGCUCUCUAUAUCAGGGGUUCUCAACCUUUUGCAAGUUGAGCCCCCCUUUCAAAGGUUAGAAUAUUGUCCCCCCCCACCAACCUUGAUGUCAAUGCAUGAUUUCAAGCACUCAAAUUAUUCUACUUUUCUUUUCUUUUUUGAUAGCCACAUCCAGUGUUCUUGUGAGUUAU